AGUUAGGUCUCCAAGUUCGUUAACAACGUGGUGGUGGGUGGUAUUAGCGCUUUUGUAUGGCUGCACUGUGGGUGCUUUGAUUGCGUCCAGCUAAUACUGGGUAUCAUGCAAGCACUACGCAUAAUCGCAUUACAGGUGGUGAUCGGCGGCGGUGGGGCUGGUGGUGGUCUACGACGGCGGAGCUGGUAAUCCGUGGCGGAGGUGGUAAUCUUAAUUUUACUCUUGAGUGAGAAUGUUAUCAGCUUGGGAUAGAAAUAUAUACACCAUCACAAUAGAUUUUAGAAAACAUUUUGAGCCCAGAAAGUGUAGGAAAAGGAAAAUUAAAACGCUCAAUAGGAAAUUUAUGAUGAAACCAAUUUCAAUUUCAUCUAAAUUUGGUGAAACCGAUUUCGGUUUCAUCUAACUUUUCCUUAAUUUUUUUGAAAUUUUUAGGUGAAACCAAUGUUGUUGGUGAUAAAUAGUAUUCUAUUGAAACAAGCAUUUAUUUCAUCUACGUUUGAUCAAUAUUUUUUGAGGUUUUAUUGACGAAACUAAACUUUUCUAAGUGAUUUUUUUUGUUGAAACAGUUUUGGUUUCAUCUGAUUUGCUUUUUAUUUUCUAUGAAACCAGUUUUGGUUUCAUCAAUAUUUCAUUAAUGAUAUAGAGAUAGAUUGUUUUCUGAUGAAACCAAACAGUUUUUUGAUGAAACUAGUUUUGGUUUCAUCAAAAUUUUAGUUACGCAGGUGAUGGUAUUGGCAGUUGUGGUGCUACUAGGGGUGGUAAUGGCGGUGAUGUUGUUAACAUCGGUGGAGGUUGGCGUUGGUGGUGGCUAGUGGUGGUUGGAUUUGUUCGAAGCGGAGACGGUGGUGGUUUUAUGAAUAUUUGGUGGUGGUGGUGGGUGGUGGAUGACGUUACCAUAAGUUGUUGGUUGGUGGUGGAGGUGGUAUGUGAGCUGGUCGACGGCAUUGGCGGUGGUCUGCGAUAAUGGUGGUCGGCAUCGGUGAUGGUAGAGUCAAUUCCUAACUUAAGCAUAAGUAUGAGAAGAAGGUGUGGGAGGAGGAAGCAGAGAAAAAAUGUGGGGUUACCUUAAUGCUUUGGAAUUGCCUUACAAAAAAGAAGAAGAUUAUAGAGUCAAUUCCCACCUUCUGGUCAACUGCGUUUCUGGGUUUACCUUCGCUUCAAAAACUCUCGACUGAAGAAGACAAAAAGGUUUGACUCUGAUAUGUGAACUGAAAUCUAUAACUUUAUAUGCUUAUGUUUCAUGAUAUUCCCUUUGAUACAUGUGAUCAUUUCCCUUGAUUUAUAUAUGUCGAGGGAUUAGUUGUUGAAACCUGACAUUCUAAUCUGUGAAUGUUUGACACUAACAUUAUGGUUUCAUCUUAUUUUUAUGAUGAAAGCAAAAUCGGUUUCAUCGUAUUAAUGAUGAAAUCGAAAUCGGUUUCAUCUAAUUUUUGGUUGGUGGUGCUGGUUUUGGUCGGUAGUGGUCAACGGCGUUGGUGAUCGGCGGUGGUCGAUAGUGGUAGUGUUAGCUGGUGGCGUGUGGAUGUCGCGGUGGAGGUGGUGGCGGA